rnacentral:rRNA from 1 species
GGGGAAUAUUGGGCAAUGGAGGCAACUCUGACCCAGCCAUGCCGCGUGGGUGACGAAGGUCUUCGGAUUGUAAAGCCCUUUCGGCGGGGACGAUGAUGACGGUACCCGCAGAAGAAGCCCCGGCCAACUUUGUGCCAGCAGCUGCGGUAAUACGGAGGGUGAAAGCGUUAAUCGGAAUUACUGGGCGUAAAGCGUGCGCAGGCGGUUUGUUAAGUCUGCUGUGAAAUCCCCGAGCUCAACUUGGGAAUUGCAGUGGAUACUGGCAGUCGGUAGUACGGUAGAGGAAGGUGGAAUUCCCGGUUUAGCAGUGAAAUGCGUAGAGAUCGGGAGGAACACCAGUGGCGAAGGCGGCCUUCUGGACCAGUACUUACGCUCAUGCACGAAAGCGUGGGGAGCAAA